CACAACCCCAAUCCCGCACCCUCGCUAUCACAAAUAACCCUAUACUGUUUUCAAUGUGAUCAGCGGUACUUGGGAACUUCACCCAUUUGGCGUCACAGGACAGUCCAUGGUGCUGAGGAAAUGUGGUUUAAAACCAACUGUCGGACCAACUUGUGUCACUGGAUCUCUCGCCCUCAUCUCGGCGAAGCUGCGAACGUCAAGACGAACCCAGCGAGGUUCUAGCAAUUCCACUGUAAUAAUUUUGGGAUUUCAGCGACGGCAGCGGUGGACAUAAAAA